GUCCAGGGGCGGGAAUCGAACCCACAACCUUCUGCUUACCGGGCAGGUGCCAUGUCCACUAGGCUACCCUAGA